AUUGCUAGCUAUCAUCUAUAUCGUUAUUACGUAUUACGUAAGAGUGCCGAAAGGGUAUACUAAAUUCGUUGAAUAGUAUGUAACAGGUAGAAGUAAACGUUUCCGACCCUAUAAGGUAUAUUUAUUCUUGAACAGGAUCACUAGCCGAGCUGCUCUUGACCUCGGCCGCCGCCCGCACUGGGGCUUCAUAGCGCAGUUGGGAUGUGAAGACGCUUUCUUUGGCUUCAUUUUCCCUGGCUUAGUACGUCUGGUGUUUCGCAUAGGGGGACCCUAACCGAGCUUGUAGGAGCUAAAGGGGUGAGCCUGUAAUUUCGGUACUAAGGGUUAAGUAUUUAUGCUUUCCAAGGUGCUACCCAUUGAGGUUGUCGUCCAACCGGAGUUUCAUGGUGGCUGUGGUUUGGUACCCAUAUCGCGGGUAAAGUCGAUCUUUGAUUUACGGCGGAACGGUGAACGCCAAUAGCUUCAUGUCCGAAAAUCCCUUCAAGGUGGAACACGUCACGUAAAACCAAUUCGGAGGGAUCCGAGUCCCACUUUAGAGACGUAGACGCAUCGCAAGAUUGUUUUAGAAGAUUCAGAAGAUCCCAACGCCCGGAAACCGCAAUUGUUAAGAAUGCCUCAAUUUUCUUAUUUCUUAAAAUAAUGAAAUAUAAUUUUUACCUUGCACUCCCACUAGAUGAGUAACGAGAAGCUGAUAGACGAAGAACUAUUGCGUUCUCCCUUGUUUUAUUACUGGGUAGGAUUGUUAUCCUAUAUUUAUUUGUAAGCGUUCAGAAGAGGUUACUUAAUUCUUUCGUUUCAUCCGUAAAUUGUUCAUGAAACGUUCUUGUUAAUACUUUGAAUUCCAAACUC